rnacentral:rRNA from 1 species
UGAGGAAUAUUGGUCAAUGGGCGAGAGCCUGAACCAGCCAAGUAGCGUGCAGGAUGACGGCCCUAUGGGUUGUAAACUGCUUUUAUAUGGGAAUAAAGUGAGGGACGUGUCCCUUAUUGCAUGUACCAUACGAAUAAGGACCGGCUAAUUCCGUGCCAGCAGCCGCGGUAAUACGGAAGGUCCAGGCGUUAUCCGGAUUUAUUGGGUUUAAAGGGAGCGUAGGCUGUUUGUUAAGCGUGUUGUGAAAUGUAAGAGCUCAACUUAUAGAUUGCAGCGCGAACUGGCAGACUUGAGUGCGCACAACGUAGGCGGAAUUCAUGGUGUAGCGGUGAAAUGCUUAGAUAUCAUGACGAACUCCGCUUGCGAAGGCAGCUUACGUGAGCGCAACUGACGCUAAAGCUCGAAGGUGCGGGUAUCGAACAGG